rnacentral:rRNA from 1 species
AUACGGAGGAUCCGAGCGUUAUCCGGAUUUAUUGGGUUUAAAGGGUGCGUAGGCUGUUCGGAAAGUCAGGGGUGAAAGCCCGGCGCCUAACGCCGGAACUGCCUUUGAUACUUCCGAGCUGGAAUACGGAUGCCGUGGGAGGAAUGAGUAGUGUAGCGGUGAAAUGCAUAGAUAUUACUCAGAACACCGAUUGCGAAGGCAUCUCACGAAUCCGUCAUUGACGCUGAGGCACGAAAGCGUGGGGAUCAAACAGGAUUAGAUACCCUGGUAGUCCACGCAGUAAACGAUGAUGACUAACCGUCGGCGAUACACAGUCGGUGGCCAAGCGAAAGCGAUAAGUCAUCCACCUGGGGAGUACGUUCGCAAGAAUGAAACUCAAAGGAAUUGACGGGG